UGUUUAUCAAAAACAUGUCUUUUUGAUAAUAAUAUAAAGUCUAAUCUGCCCACUGAAGUGAGUUUAAAGGGCCGCAGUAUUUUGACUGUGCAAAGGUAGCAUAAUCAUUUGUCUUUUAAUUAAAGACUGGAAUGAAUGGUUGGAUGAGGUGUUAACUGUCUCAUUUUUAUAAAAAUAAAAAUUUAUUUUUUUAGUUAAAAAACUAAAAUAAAUUUAAAAGACAAGAAGACCCUAUAGAUCUUUAUAAAUUAUAAAAUUAUAAGAAUUAGGAUAUAAUUUAUUAUAAGUAAUAUAUUUAUUGCAUUGGGGUGAUGGGAAAAUUUAAUAAACUUUUUUUAUUGAUAAAACAUUAAUUUUUGAAUAAUUGAUCCAAUAUUAUUGAUUAAAAAUUUAAGUUACCUUAGGGAUAACAGCGUAAUUUUUUUUGAGAGUUCUUAUCGAAAAAAAAGAUUGCGACCUCGAUGUUGAAUUAAAGGUUAUUUCUAGAUGAAGGUGUUUAGAGGUUAGGUCUGUUCGACCUUUGAAUCUUUACAUGUCUGAGUUCAAACCGG
rnacentral:rRNA from 1 species